rnacentral:rRNA from 1 species
GCAAGUCGAACGGUCUUUCUAUGGAAGCUUGCUUCCACUGAGAAGAUAGUGGCGAACGGGUGAGUAACACGUGGGUAACCUGCCCAUAAGAGGGGGAUAACAUCCGGAAACGGGUGCUAAUACCGCAUAGUUUUCUUGAUCGCAUGAUUGAGAAAGGAAAGACGGCCUUUGUGCUGUCGCUUAUGGAUGGACCCGCGGCGUAUUAGUUAGUUGGUGAGGUAACGGCUCACCAAGACGAUGAUACGUAGCCGACCUGAGAGGGUGAUCGGCCACAUUGGGACUGAGACACGGCCCAAACUCCUACGGGAGGCAGCAGUAGGGAAUCUUCCGCAAUGGACGAAAGUCUGACGGAGCAACGCCGCGUGAGUGAAGAAAGGUUUUCGGAUCGUAAAACUCUGUUGUCAGAGAAGAACAAGUUGGAGAGUAACUGCUCCAGCCUUGACGGUAUCUGACCAGAAAGCCACGGCUAACUACGUGCCAGCAGCCGC